rnacentral:rRNA from 1 species
GAUGAACGCUGGCGGCGUGCCUAAUACAUGCAAGUCGAGCGAACAGACGAGGAGCUUGCUCCUCUGACGUUAGCGGCGGACGGGUGAGUAACACGUGGAUAACCUACCUAUAAGACUGGGAUAACUUCGGGAAACCGGAGCUAAUACCGGAUAAUAUAUUGAACCGCAUGGUUCAAUAGUGAAAGACGGUUUUGCUGUCACUUAUAGAUGGAUCCGCGCCGCAUUAGCUAGUUGGUAAGGUAACGGCUUACCAAGGCAACGAUGCGUAGCCGACCUGAGAGGGUGAUCGGCCACACUGGAACUGAGACACGGUCCAGACUCCGACGGGAGGCAGCAGUAGGGAAUCUUCCGCAAUGGGCGAAAUCCUGACGGAGCAACGCCGCGUGAGUGAUGAAGGUCUUCGGAUCGUAAAACUCUGUUAUUAGGGAAGAACAAAUGUGUAAGUAACUAUGCACGUCUUGACGGUACCUAAUCAGAAAGCCACGGCUAACUACGUG